UACGGGGGGGGCAAGCGUUGUUCGGAAUUACUGGGCGUAAAGGGCGCGUAGGCGGCCUUCUAAGUCGGACGUGAAAUCCCUCGGCUUAACCGAGGAACUGCGUCCGAUACUGAAAGGCUUGAAUCCGGGAGAGGGAUGUGGAAUUCCAGGUGUAGCGGUGAAAUGCGCAGAUAUCAGGAAGAACACCAAUGGCGAAGGCAGCUCUCUGGGACGGUACUGACGCUGAGACGCGAAAGCGUGGGGAGCGAACAGG
rnacentral:rRNA from 1 species